AAAGUAAAUAAAUUCAAAACAAUGGUGGAAAUCGCAUUGUUGAAGGAGAAGGAAAAUGCAUUCAGAACCAGGGUUCUAAUCAAGUCCUAAUCACAGAAUAUUUGCUGAGUGAUAUGAUCUCUAGGUAUUAAAUCUUCAGAGGGAUUUUCGCUCAUAUUAAAUUUUAAUUUUUUACCAAUUCCCUGUUAAGAUAAAAUGAAUUCAACUGCCACUGUGUACAGUAUUUCUCAUGCAGCUGUCCGCCAAAACAUUGGAUACACACAGAGAUUUAUAUAUGGUGAGAUAACACACAACAUUUCGAUCUUCUUUGUAUUUAUUCAACCCAAGAAUUUGAAGAAAUUAAACUCCUUAAAUCAAAUUUUUGACUAGUGAUUGACACAAUAUUCACUCUACAGAUAACAGUUGUUUGCUUAAACAUCUCACUGUUGGGGACAGUUUUGUGAUUAAGGGGAGAUACAAUGAGGUAGCAUUCUUACUCUAAUCCUCUUGAUUUACAUAUGACAAAAAAGUGACACAUUUACCAGACUUCAUUCAACACUGAAUUGCUAAACCUAAAAUAUACUGCUAGUUUGUCUUUCAUUCACUCAGUAGUGUUACUUCUAAUUCCAUUUGUGUAUGGAUGAUGAAUUGUGUAAUUGUGAAAUUAUAGAUCCUGGAUGAAUUUUCUCUUCAGCAUCGUAGAAAAAAACACAAAUAAAUAUUGCAGUAUACAGAUGCAAGCUUUAUUUCAAAGGAGAAGAGUUUAGAAAAUUAGAGUUUGCAGCCUCCACAAAAUAAGUUUAAUUUGCAGUCAGACAUGCUAGCUGUAAUAAAAAUGUUGCCUCAAGAAGCAUGUUAGUCUAUCAAUGGGUCUCUGUUGAGGGUUAGUUGAGUCAGGGUAUCAGGCCCAAGAUUGAGUGUGUGAUGAGCGUGCUAGUGAGCCGCUUUGAAGUGAAGAGAUUUGAUAAAUGUUGGGAGGGAUAUAAAGUUCUCCCCGUCCUGGCUUUCUCUUGCCCGGUCUCGCAGACAGUUGGGUGUUACAUGGGCAGUUUUCUCUUGUCACUGGAAUUCAUAAAGCCCUUUGAUGACAUAAAUGACACUUGGUUUCCAGAAAGACAUUUGACAAUUUGAAAAAUUCUAGGCUUCGAAAUUUUAACACCAAUGUAUGAAUAUGUCAUAAAAGAAUAGUUUGAUUAAAUUAAAAAUCAGGAUCCAUGUCUUUAAUGUUAGGUAUUAAGAACAGGUGUAUAAUCCCCACUUGGCUGCAAAUGGUAGACUCUUUGUAAGGACUUCUAAAUAUCAACCUAUUGUUGCUUCUGGAAAAUUAAAUAUCAGGUGUGAUUUCAAAAAUUUCAAUAAGGUCACACGGGCGUUAUUUAUCAACAGGUCCAUGGCAGGUUUCUGUAGGAAUGAUUUUGAUGGACUUGAUAAAAGGAGAAGGGUGCAAUUUGCUUGUUCCUAAAUGAUUACAUAUCUGCUGAUCUCUGAAAAAAGAAGUUUUAAAACCCAAGAGGGAAAGGGAGUAAUUAUUUCUUACAUGCCAUCUAAGGUGCAAGGAUACAACAGAGAACUGUUUACUAAUUCAUGGUUUAAAACAUGGAAAAAAGGGCAAGCAGAUACUAUCGACUGAGAAUUUAAACUUAUACCUAAAGCAAGUAGGGUAAUUUGUUUCGGCUGUCGGUCACCUAGGAUGGAGAUCUGUACAGGCUUGAUGUAACUCAGCUAAUCAGUCCUGAACAGUUCUUUGUGAGAUUUUAUAGAUCCUCGCAUGCGAGUCCUGGACUAUUCUCUGUGAGAUUGUAAAGGCCCAUGCAUGCAAGUCAGACUGUUAUCUGUGAGAUUUUAUAUGCCUUUGCUAGCGAGUCCUGGAGCUUUCUAUGAGAUUAUUUAGACCUGUGCGAGUAGGUCCUGGACUAUUUUUGAGAUAUUGUAGGCCUCUGCUAGCGAGUCCUGCAUUAUUCUCUGAGAUGAUGUAAACCUGUGGACUAGUUGUGUAGGCACUGUGUUGUUUGUGUAAACCAGCUCUGUGUUUAUUCCUGUAUGGCUUGGUUUGUGGUUUCUUGUACUAGAAUCGACAACUCGGACAGUUUGAGGAAGGAACUGCUGUCUCAAACAGGUACCUGGCUGAUCAUUGAACUUCUCUCUGAAGUCUGCAGGGUCCUAAUAACACAUUCUCCUAAUAGGAUAAUGGAUUCUUUUGGGGGGAAAUAAUAAAAAUCAAAAAUACAAAAAAGGCUUUGAGCCAAAAUUAAAAAUUAAAUUUUUUGUUGUACUCUGAUCAACCCAUCAAAAUUGCCCCUACCCAAUAAUUUUUUUUGCAUUUUUAAUUUGAUGAUUUUUUAAAAAUUGAUUGUCAUAUUAAAAAAAAAAUUGGAUUAUGCUUUUGUAUCAACAAAUAUUGAAUUUGUUUACUUUCUCAGCAUAGAAAUUAACACAAAAAUUGUCUGAUUUUUAGAAUAUCAAUGUGCAAGAAAAU
rnacentral:sRNA from 1 species